AAAGAGAGGCGUAAGCGUGUGUCAGACGAGAGAGAGAGAGUUGGGGGUCAGGGGUGGUGAACCUUGUGGGGAGCCACCCGCUUUCAUUUUCCGGAACAAUCAAAGUAAACAGCAUGUCAGCAUUCAGCUACCCCACCUCAAUUUCCCAAUUCACUGAAUCCAACCUCUCUCUCUCUCUCUCUCUCUCUCUCUUCUGCUAGCUGCGUCUUCGUCAUCUUCGGCGUCAUGAUACAAAUACACUGCAAUCCCAACUCCAGCCAUCGGAUUGACCAAAAAAUUCUGUACGAAGACAGCUCAAGCUACAACACGCAGAGUUUUGUUUCCUCACCCAUCGUCUCUCCCAUUUCACCGUUUAUCUCUCAUCUAGUGAUCUCUCUCCUUCUCAGUACGGUACUCCAUCUGCUGCAUGAAGUUGAAGCCCGCACACCACCUAGCAGCAGCAGCAGCCUAGUUACCUAGGGGCUACCUCGCCUCCCUCCUGCAUACAGUUGGAUCGACGAACUAUUUAAUAGAGGCGCCUUCUUGUUGGUGGAUUGUAAAGCGCGUGCGCAGGAUCUGGGUUGAAAUUUGAAGGUAGGUGAGUGAGUUGUAUGAGACAGAAUACGGGAUCUGAUUUUUCUUAAGGGGCUGCCGCACGAAUCCUGGGUUUCGUAUUUCUUCUGGCUGCAAACUAAAGACACAUUUUUCUUAAUUUCUGCGCUUCAGUUUUUAUGGGCAACCAGUUUUUCAUGGAAGAUGAUCAGAACGCUGCGGAAUCAAGCUCUCCAAUUUAAUCAUUUUCAAAGGAGGAUUUACAGCGCGUAAAUCCUGAUCACCCAACACCAACUACUCUCUGCAAUCCAUCCGUCGCUGCGGCCUAGCUUUUGUAACUAAUCUACCGGCCGGGAGCGGAGCGGGUUCAGGAUCUAGUCUUUGCUGAUUAAAAUUCUUCCGGAGAUUGGCAAUUAGCAAGGGUUACCGUAUGCAGUUGAUCGAAACAUCUUCGAUCGGUGCCAAGAGCGAAGAAUCUGAUUUAAGCGUGAAAUUAUUUUAAAUGAAUUUUGAGCUGCCCCUCCCCAAAGGUUUUCGAGGAAUUGGAGACCGUCUGAUUUUGAGCGGCAUUAUGAAGAACAACAACUACUCGAGAAGCAGCGGUAUGGUGAUGGAAGGAAAGAACAGAGAAGUAUAUCAUGAUAAAAAUCAUGAUCGAUAUGCAUCGGAAGGGAACAACGGAAAGAGAGCAUUACGUGCGAGCUACUUCAGCUUGGAGUCGAUGCUUCUGCUGCUGUGCUUGACGGCGUCGUUGCUGAUCCUCCCGCUGAUUCUUCCGCCGCUGCCUCCGCCGCCGUUCAUGCUGCUUCUGCUCCCCAUUGGCAUUCUGGGAGUGCUACUGAUAUUGGCUUUCAUGCCUACCAAUGUUCGAGAUAUCACCUCUUCCUGUGUGUAAACCCAUCUCCCAUUACUGCAAUGCUCAUGUUCAUUGCGACUUCACUGCUUGUUUCAUACCAAUUUUUUGUUCUUGCCUUCACAUCCUCUAGUGUUCAAACUGCAAAAGCUCAAACAACCCCCAAACCCACCCCCACUAAAAAUAAAAAAGGUAGAAUUUUUUUUAAAA